rnacentral:rRNA from 1 species
GACGAACGCNGGCGGCGUGCUUAACACAUGCAAGUCGAACGGGAACCUUUAUUUCGGUAAAGGUGAGAGUGGCAAACGGGUGAGUAACACGUAGGCAACCUGCCGACAGGAUGGGGACAACAUUCCGAAAGGAAUGCUAAUACCGAAUGAAGUCACCGGAGGGCAUCCUCUGGUGAUGAAAGAUGGCCUCUGAAUAUGCUAUCACCUGUCGAUGGGCCUGCGUCUGAUUAGCCAGUUGGCGGGGUAACGGCCCACCAAAGCGACGAUCAGUAGCCGGUCUGAGAGGAUGAACGGCCACAUUGGGACUGAGACACGGCCCAGACUCCUACGGGAGGCAGCAGUGGGGAAUCUUCCACAAUGGGCGAAAGCCUGAUGGAGCAACGCCGCGUGAGUGAAGAAGGUCUUCGGAUCGUAAAGCUCUGUUGCACGGGACGAAAACUGGGUUUGAGAACAUUGAACCNGGGNGACG